ensembl:lncRNA
AUUCUAACAUAUCUCUUAUCUGGGCAUCGGCAUCAUUAUCUUUUUCAUUCAGUCUGAGUUCUUCCUGGUUCGUUGUAUGAUGAGUAACUUUCAGUUGAAACUUGAACAUUUCUUUGUUGAGAAUUAUAGUGUGAGACUGAGUAUUAUUUAAAACUACUGCUUCAGCUGGCUUCCUCUGAUAUCUGCCUAACAGGAGAAGAAAUAUAUUGCCUCAUUACUUCCAGGCUUCUCUGCCUUGCCCAUUCCCUGCCUCAGCUCACCCAAGGCCAUCUGAAGCAGUGUGUUUCCUGUUGCUCUGGCUUUCAUUCCCUCAAGUACAAGAAGCUACUGGGAGCUGUAAAUGCCUCCAUUAAAAAAGGAGAACAAUGUCAGAUCAAUAACAUUUACUUCAUACUUUUAGUGGUGCAUAACUCUUCAC